CCGGCUGAUGAGACCAAGGCGAAUGCGACCCCGUGUCUAUGAUGCUGAGCCCCCUGGGGGUAGAGGUUCUGGAUGGGAUCUGAAAUCUUAGUGAGGGUGCCUGAGGCCUGGUUCCUCACUGUAAGACAGAUCGACAUUGCUGCUGGCCUCACCUCCACUUGUGCUACUGCCUGCAGUUCCUGGCAGCUGCAAGCAGGGGGGCCCACAGGUGGGGGACAAAGUAGAGCUGGGCACGGGCCAUCUGGGCGCAACCUUGGAUCUGACG